rnacentral:misc_RNA from 1 species
AAGACUAUAGACCUGCGGAGUACCUGCGGAGGGAUCAUUACAGAGUUUUCUAACUCCCAAACCCAUGUGAACUUACCAUUGUUGCCUCGGCGGAGCCUACCCUGUAGCUACCCUAUAAGGUGGUUACCCUGUAGCGCCCCGCCGGUGGAUUUUCAAACUCUUGUUAUUUUUAGUAAUCUGAGAGUCUUAUUUUAAAUAAGUCAAAACUUUUAACAAUGGAUCUCUAGAUCGGAAGAGCAC